AAAGAGGGGGACCUAUCGGGCCUCUCGCCAUCAGAUGUGCCCAGAUGGGAUUAGCUAGUAGGUGGGGUAAUGGCUCACCUAGGCGACGAUCCCUAGCUGGUCUGAGAGGAUGACCAGCCACACUGGAACUGAGACACGGUCCAGACUCCUACGGGAGGCAGCAGUGGGGAAUAUUGCACAAUGGGCGCAAGCCUGAUGCAGCCAUGCCGCGUGUGUGAAGAAGGCCUUCGGGUUGUAAAGCACUUUCAGCGAGGAGGAAGGUGGUGAACUUAAUACGUUCAUCAAUUGACGUUACUCGCAGAAGAAGCACCGGCUAACUCCGUGCCAGCAGCCGCGGUAAUACGGAGGGUGCAAGCGUUAAUCGGAAUUACUGGGCGUAAAGCGCACGCAGGCGGUUUGUUAAGUCAGAUGUGAAAUCCCCGGGCUCAACCUGGGAACUGCAUUUGAAACUGGCAAGCUAGAGUCUCGUAGAGGGGGGUAGAAUUCCAGGUGUAGCGGUGAAAUGCGUAGAGAUCUGGAGGAAUACCGGUGGCGAAGGCGGCCCCCUGGACGAAGACUGACGCUCAGGUGCGAAAGCGUGGGGAGCAAACAGGAUUA
rnacentral:rRNA from 1 species